UUAUAGUAAAAACGAAUAAUAUUAUUUAAAUUCUUUAAACACAAUAUUUCAAGCACAACGUUUUACAUAUUAAACUAAAGUGAUAUUUGAGUGUUUUAAGUUUUUGUUUUAUAUCCCCUUUAAAUAUGAUAAAUGCCUCAAGUGUGUGGUAAAGUUUGAAUGAAAUUGCUGCACAUCUCAAAUAUCUUUAGGAUUCCCGUGACGCUUCAAGUUCAUGAGCGAUUUAAUGAUCUUUCGUGAAGACUGUGCUAUCGAAACGAUCUUUGGAGGCACUUUUGGAUUUGUAUCCAAAAGGGAAUGGAAUCAAUUGCAGAGAAAAAUUCCCCUAUGCAUGUAAGGUAUGCAAAAAAAUGAAGCACCGCCAACAAGUUGUAAUACAAAUUUUGUGGUCCAUUUUACAAAAUGAAAGUUAAAAGAGAGUGAGAGACACGUUCUCCGAAUGAAAGAGAGGGCGAGAGCGAGAGAAAAGCAACAGCAACAAGCAUGAAAAUUUAUGUAACGUAAAAAAUUUUUGAUGAUGUCCUUAAAUCAAAAUUUAAAUAAAUUUUCUAAAAUAAA